GGUAUAGCAGCAAAACAGGGACGGGUCCGCAACGCUGCCAGUACAGUCGUCAAAGUGAAACAAGUGCUCGGGAGAAGCUUUGAUGACCCAGAGAUACAAAGGCACAGAACGGAGACCAAAUGUCAGGUCGUCAGCAGAGACAACAAACCUUUUUAUGAGAUCACAUCAGGACAGCAGCCAAAGUACGUCGCUCCAGAAGAUGUCGCGAAGCUCAUCUUCCAGAAAAUGAAAG